AGGACGAACGUUGGCGGCGUGCCUUACACAUGCAAGUCGUACGCGAAAGGGGAAUCCAGCUUGCUGGGGACCCCCGGUAGAGUGGCGAACGGGAGCGUAACACGUGAGGAACCUGCCUCGGAGUGGGGAAUAACCCAGAGAAAUCUGGGCUAAUUCCGCAUGAUGCAGCGGCCCCGCAUGGGGACAGUUGUGAAAGACCGCCUCUGCUUGCAAGCGGUCGCUUCGAGAUGGUCUCGCGGCCUAUCAGCUAGUUGGCGGGUAAUGGCCCACCAAGGCGACGACGGGUAGCCGGCCUGAGAGGGUGUCCGGCCUCAUUGGGACUGAGACACGGCCCAGACUCCGUACGGGAGCAGCAGUGAGGAAUCUUGCGCAAGUGGGCGAAAGCC
rnacentral:rRNA from 1 species